GUGAGUCAUCGAAUCUUUGAACGCACCUUGCGCCUUUUGGUAUUCCGAAAGGCAUGCCUGUUUGAGUGUCAUGUAGACUCAACUCUCGAGAGGUUUCUUGCGGGUUGGAUUUGGGUGUUGCCGUUCGGCUCGCCUCAAAAGUGUUAGUGGUUCAAGCACUUGACCAGACGUGAUAAGUUUCGUCUGGCCAGUGUGCUGUUUGACCGCUCCUGAACCGCCUUGUGGCGCUUUUUGACUCUGACCUCAAAUCAGGUAGGACUACCCGCUGAACUUAAGCAUAUCAAUAAGCGGAGGA
rnacentral:misc_RNA from 1 species